rnacentral:rRNA from 1 species
UACAGAGGUCUCAAGCGUUGUUCGGAUUCAUUGGGCGUAAAGGGCGCGUAGGCGGCGGGGUAAGUCGGGUGUGAAAUCUCAGAGCUCAACUCUGAAACUGCACUCGAUACUGCUCUGCUUGAGGACUGGAGAGGAGACUGGAAUUCACGGUGUAGCAGUGAAAUGCGUAGAUAUCGUGAGGAAGACCAGUGGCGAAGGCGGGUCUCUGGGCCGAUACUGACGCUGAGGAGCGAAAGCGUGGGGAGCGAACAGG